CUUUAGUGGCAGACGGGUGAGUAAAGUAUAGGAAUCUACCUAAUAGUAUGGAAUAAUUGCUAGAAAUAGCAGCUAAUACCAUAUACUCCUUACGAGGGAAAGAUUUAUCGCUAUUAGAUGAGCCUAUAUUAGAUUAGCUAGUUGGUAAGGUAAUGGCUUACCAAGGCUAUGAUCUAUAGCUGAUCUGAGAGGAUGAUCAGCCACACUGGAAUUGAGAUACGGUCCAGACUCCUACGGGAGGCAGCAGUGGGGAAUAUUGGACAAUGGGCGAAAGCCUGAUCCAGCUAUGCCGCAUGAGUGAAGAAGGCUUUAGGGUUGUAAAGCUCUUUUAGUAAGGAAGAUAAUGACGGUACUUACAGAAAAAGUCCUGGCUAACUCCGUGCCAGCAGCCGCGGUAAUACGGAGAGGGCUAGCGUUGUUCGGAAUUAUUGGGCGUAAAGGGUACGUAGGCUGUUUAGUAAGUUAGAAGUGAAAUCCUAAGGCUUAACCUUAGAACUGCUUUUAAAACUGCUAUACUAGAGGUCGAAAGAGGAUAGUGGAAUUCCUAGUGGAGAGGUGAAAUUCGUAGAUAUUAGGAGGAACACCAGUGGCGAAGGCGACUGUCUGGUUCGAUUCUGACGCUGAGGUACGAAAGCGUGGGGAGCAAACAGGAUUAGAUACCCUGGUAGUCCACGCUGUAAAUGGUGAAUGUUAAAUGUAGGGAUUGUAUCUCUGUAUUGUAGCUAACGCGUUAAACAUUCCGCCUGGGGACUACGAUCGCAAGAUUAAAACUCAAAGGAAUUGACGGGGACCCGCACAAGCGGUGGAGCAUGUGGUUUAAUUCGAUGCUACGCGAAAAACCUUACCACUUUUUGACAUGGAGGCUAUCUCCUUCUGAGAGGAAGGAUUCAGUUCGGCUGGGCCUCACACAGGUGUUGCAUGGCUGUCGUCAGCUCGUGUCGUGAGAUGUUGGGUUAAGUCCCGCAACGAGCGCAACCCUUAUCCUUAGUUACCAACAGGUUAAGCUGGGCACUUUAAGGAGACUGCCAAUGAUAAAUUGGAGGAAGGUGGGGACGACGUCAAGUCAUCAUGGCCCUUAUAAAGUGGGCUACACACGUGCUACAAUGGCGACUACAAUGGGUUGCAAAACUGCGAAGUUGAGCCAAUCCCAAAAAGUCGUCUCAGUUCGGAUUGCUCUCUGCAACUCGAGAGCAUGAAGUCGGAAUCGCUAGUAAUCGUGGAUCAGCACGCCACGGUGAAUACGUUCUCGGGUCUUGUACACACUGCCCGUCAAGCCAUGGAAGUUGGUUUCACUCGAAACUAGUGUGCUAACC
rnacentral:rRNA from 1 species